rnacentral:lncRNA from 1 species
GGCAGCGCACGGAGCGCGCCGGGCAUCCACAGCCAGGAGGCUCGGUCGCCAAGAUCUAAGACGCGGCAGUGCAGGUCCCAGUCCCUGUCCCUGUAGCAGGGGAGCCGCCCGAAUCCCUGGGAGACCAACCCCGAAAGUUAGCCAGGUUCCUCAGCAACCCGGCCACCCUCGCGCCCACCCCUCUUGUGUACGCACACGCAUCCACACCCCUUUCUGGGCUCCGUACUUGCCGUGGAAAUUCCUGGGGAGAACGGUCGCACUUUUCAGGACACCAAGACAAUUAAGAUCGUCAAAUUAAAAGGGGGCAGCCAUCAAAGGAAAUGAGACAGACUUGGAUGGACUGGUAUGGAAGGAGGUCAUGAUAGACUGUCAAGCGAGAAGACAUGUAAGUCAAAGAACAGUACACAUAGCAUUGAUGCAUUUCUAUCACAUGUGUGUACACACCUCUCCAUGGACAAAGGCCAAAGGUGAACUACACCAAGUUGCUAGCACACUAAUUAUGUCUAGGCAAUUUAGAAAGCAGAUAUAGGUGUCUGUAUGUCCAAGGGGCACAGGAAGAAAGAAGACUUUGGCUCUGUGUAUGUGUGUGUGAAUCCAAGUGCAUGUAUGUGUCUGUACAAGUAUAUGUUAGGGUGUAUAAGAGUGCAUGUAUGUAUGU